rnacentral:rRNA from 1 species
GACGUACGCUGGCGGCGUGCUUAACACAUGCAAGUCGAGCGAUGAAGCUCCUUCGGGAGUGGAUUAGCGGCGGACGGGUGAGUAACACGUGGGUAACCUGCCUCAUAGAGGGGAAUAGCCUUCCGAAAGGAAGAUUAAUACCGCAUAAGAUUGUAGCUUCGCAUGAAGCAGCAAUUAAAGGAGCAAUCCGCUAUGAGAUGGACCCGCGUCGCAUUAGCUAGUUGGUGAGGGAACGGCUCACCAAGGCGACGAUGCGUAGCAGACCUGAGAGGGUGAUCGGCCACAUUGGGACUGAGACACGGCCCAGACUCCUACGGGAGGCAGCAGUGGGGAAUAUUGCACAAUGGGGGAAACCCUGAUGCAGCAACGCCGCGUGAGUGAUGACGGUCUUCGGAUUGUAAAACUCUGUCUUCAGGGACGAUAAUGACGGUACCUGAGGAGGAAGCCACGGCUAACUACGUGCCAGCAGCAGCCGCCG